rnacentral:lncRNA from 1 species
AUGAGAGGGAAGAAAAGGAAAGCCAUACAACACAGAAGUAGCUUUGAACGUUUUAGGCCACGAUGUAAGGAAGAGAUUUGUGUGCACAGUUCAGGCUUCUGCAGGUGCGACAAACCAGGCCCACUGUUGAGUUAUGCAACCACCAUCACCUCUACCAUGUCAAAAUACCUCCUAGUAACUACCUAGAUGAAAAGCACUCAGCUCACUAGGAAACUCUGUCCAUCUCACCCCAGUGAUUCAUACAUUUGUCACCUCCAGCAUGAACCCCUGUAACUGAAGUGGAAUCUGAAACCUGUGAAUGGAUACAGAAGGUGACUGCUGACUUUUUCCAUGGUGAAAUGUGCUGUUAGCAGAGUAUGUCUGAAUUCAGGUACCUCAGAAAGCCUCCACUUUCUCUCAGUACCUGUUUACAGCCCUAGCCACCAUUUUCAAAGCAAGUAAAGAAAUUUCAGAGACAGCUGCAUACCUCUGAUGUGCCUUAGAUCACAGGUUUAAAAAAAAAAAACGUGAGAACUAUUCACAAUGUGAAUCUGAUAUCUGAUUUUGCUUUGCACUGUCUGCACCUCUUGCCAAGGUAAUCCUGCUGUGGAAUGCUUUGCUGGAACCUGAUCAUGUUCCUGAAAUAUUGCAGUUUUCCCUGUGUGAUUGGGCUGGGAGGAUUUUUUUUUUUUUACCAUAUGUGACACAAUUCAACAGCUGUUUUUAUUCAUGAAUCCUUUCCUCCUUUCUUCCCCCUUCCUCAAAAUAAAAAACAUUUCAUGAAUGUUGAUUACA